CGACCGGCGCACGGGUGAGUAACACGUAUGCAACCUGGCCGUCACAGGUGGAUAACCGGAAGAAAUUCCGACUAAUACAGCAUAACACUCCUGAGGGACAUCCUUCGGGAGUCAAAGGAGGCGACUCCGGUGACGGAUGGGCAUGCGGCGCAUUAGGUAGUUGGUAGGGUAACGGCCUACCAAGCCGACGAUGCGUAGGGGUUCUGAGAGGAAGGUCCCCCACAUUGGAACUGAGACACGGUCCAAACUCCUACGGAAGGCAGCAG
rnacentral:rRNA from 1 species